UUUUUUUUUUUUAUUUAUUUUAAUUUUUUUUUUUUUUGGGGGGCAAGUGGAAAGCAUCAGCUUGACCUCUCAGUUCAUCACUUAUGUCUAAUCCAUAGUGGCAAUAGGUCUGAUUUCAAACCCGUAUAGGCUAUAGCUCACACUGCUUACACCAGGUCAAUUUUUGCAACCCAAAACAGAAUGCGAGAGACAAUCAACAUUACUAACGCUAGCAUAAGAAACCUUUGAUGCCCAACAACCACUACCGGAUUAGAUCAACCCAUCAAUAACCUUUUACAGGAUAAUGCAGCAUAACAUCCAACCUCAAGAAACCAAAACAUUGUGUAUCAAACAUCAACAACAGAUCUACAUACUGAACCAUUUUCAACACAAAAGUCGGAACAAGUUAAAGAGCUCCAGUGUAAAAGCGUAAAUGAAAAAUCAUACUCAAAAUUGAAAACCAUCUACAAAUUGACUUCACACAAGUAUAUGAACACUGUUAACACCAAAAUUCUCUUAAAAUUGAAGAUUUCAUAGCCAAAAAGAGGGGAUUUGGGGAGAAGAAAAAGAAGCUCAAAACAACAGAGCUAAUAACCAAAUCAUUACUUACAGUUUUGCAGUGAAUGUAUAGCUCAAAAUUGCGGC
rnacentral:misc_RNA from 1 species